rnacentral:rRNA from 1 species
UACGAAAGGUGCAAGCGUUACUCGGAAUCACUGGGCGUAAAGCGCACGUAGGCGGACUUACAGGUCAAUUGUGAAAUACCUGGGCUCAACCCAGGAACUGCAGUUGAAACCGUUUGUCUUGAAUACCUGAGAGGGUGGGGGAAUACCUGGUGGAGAAGUGAAAUUCGUAGAGAUCAGGUGGAACACCGGAGGCGAAGGCGCCUGCCUGGCAGUGUAUUGACGCUGAGGUGCGAAAGCGUGGGGAGCAAACAGG